UGCAUUAGUAGCUCAAAGUCAGAGCGCCG
rnacentral:tRNA from 1 species